rnacentral:lncRNA from 1 species
UAUAGAUGGUGGGUGGUGUGGAGGGAGGGGAUGGAUGGAGGGGAGAAUGAGGGGCUGGGGUUGUACUAUAGAUGGUGGGUGGUGUGGAGGGAGGGAGGGGAUGGAUGGAGGGGAGAAUGAGGGGCUGGGGUUGUACUAUAGAUGGUGGGUGGUGUGGAGGGAGGGAGGGAGGGGAUGGAGGGGAGAAUGAGGGGCUGGGGUUGUACUAUAGAUGGUGGGUGGUGUGGAGGGAGGGGAUGGAUGGAGGGGAGAAUGAGGGGCUGGGGUUGUACUAUAGAUGGUGGGUGGUGGGAGGGGAUGGAUGGAGGGGAGAAUGAGGGGCUGGGGUUGUACUAUAGAUGGUGGGUGGGUGGAGGGAGGGGAUGGAUGGAGGGGAGAAUGAGGGGCUGGGGUUGUACUAUAGAUGGUGGGUGGUGUGGAGGGAGGGAGGGGAUGGAUGGAGGGGAGAAUGAGGGGCUGGGGUUGUACUAUAGAUGGUGGGUGGUGUGGAGGGAGGGAGGGGAUGGAGGGGAGAAUGAGGGGCUGGGGUUGUACUAUAGAUGGUGGGUGGUGUGGAGGGAGGGGAUGGAUGGAGGGGAGAAUGAGGGGCUGGGGUUGUACUAUAGAUGGUGGGUGGUGUGGAGGGAGGGAGGGGGGAUGGAGGGGAGAAUGAGGGGCUGGGGUUGUACUAUAGAUGGUGGGUGGUGUGGAGGGAGGGGAUGGAUGGAGGGGAGAAUGAGGGGCUGGGGUUGUACUAUAGAUGGUGGGUGGUGUGGAGGGAGGGAGGGGAUGGAUGGAGGGGAGAAUGAGGGGCUGGGGUUGUACUAUAGAUGGUGGGUGGUGUGGAGGGAGGGGAUGGAUGGAGGGGAGAAUGAGGGGCUGGGGUUGUACUAUAGAUGGUGGGUGGUGUGGAGGGAGGGAGGGGAUGGAUGGAGGGGAGAAUGAGGGGCUGGGGUUGUACUAUAGAUGGUGGGUGGUGUGGAGGGAGGGGAUGGAUGGAGGGGAGAAUGAGGGGCUGGGGUUGUCCUGUUUUUGUCGUUAUAUCUCUAUAUAAAGUAAAAAACAAACCAAGAUCAGAGUAACAGCAGCAUAUGAUGAGGGUAAAAGUGUGUGUGUUGGAUUAAGGGAUGGACCCAAUCCCCACCAGUCUAACACCGAAGGAUCCAUAUGUGGUUCUGGCUUUAACAAGUCAGGGUCAGGGGUCAGGGGUCAGGGGUCAGGGGGAGAACUCAGCAGCAGACUUGGUUCAUGCCUUAGUUUAUAUUUCUCACAUGAUAUCCUUAUGAAACAUACAUCAUUCUGAAAUACAAUAAAACUAGUGAAAUCAAGACAUGGACCCACAUCAGAAUAAUGUUAGUCAUUCUGUAUGAUUCUGCUCUGAGGGAUUCUAGAACAUGCUGAUUCUGCUCUGAGGGAUUCUAGAACAUGCUGAUUCUGCUCUGAGGGAUUCUAGAACAUGAUGAUUCUGCUCUGAGGGAUUCUAGAACAUGAUGAUUCUGCUCUGAGGGAUUCUAGAACAACAUGAUGAUUCUGCUCUGAGGGAUUCUAGAACAACAUGAUGAUUCUGCUCUGAGGGAUUCUAG